CUGCAGAUUUUUUGAUCAUGCAACCAAAUCCAGUAUGACUGGCAAGAAACAUAUACACAUUGAGGAUUGGCAAAAGGAGAAACAAUUAACCAGAAGCAAAAGGGAAAGAUUAUUCCUUAUUACACACUGGCAAUAUGAUCAAAUCUUUAGAAAAUGGUGCUUCCCACCAGUAGACAGAAAUCCACCAAGAUUGAUUAAAAAUUCAAACAGUGCAGUGAUUAAACAUUUAUGUUAUCAAUGCUGUGUACACAGAUCCUGUCAGGCCGGGGUGUGAGGCCUAGGAACAAGGAAUUUUGCCUUUUGUGAGCAAGAUCCUGUCGCACAGGCUGAGGUGUGGGGCCCAAGAACAAGGGAAUUUCGCCUUUUGUGAGCAA